rnacentral:lncRNA from 1 species
CAUCAAAGUAACUCAAAAACCCUAGAUUGGAAAAAUGAAGGUUUUAAAGCAUAAUUUUGAAAGAAAUCUCAAGAAAUAGUUUCAAAUUUCAAGAAAAACACGGAUCUAGAACAAAUCAAAAGAAAUCAGAAAAAACCUCAAAAGAUAGGGUUUUAGAGAAACCCAAACAGUGAGAAAGGCUUGGAUAGUCGUUCAUCUAAGUAGGAGGAGUUGAGGCCAGACUCAAACAGACAUGGCUUGCCAAAGCAAGGCCGGAUAUGGCCAUGGAACUUGAAUCAAGCAAGGUAUGGACCCAGCUUCUUCGUGGUCAGAUCAUGAGACUUCAGUAACCAAGCGUAGAGGAUCCAUAGAAGGCUGGUUGGUGGUGAAACCACCAUGGAUUCAGGAAAGAAAUGGCCGGAGAAGGUAAGUGAAGCUAAUCAGAGCGAAAGGGAGGGGGGGAGGAUGCAGAGAGAACCACCGAUAAAGAUAGAGAGAUGAGAGUUGGUUGAGUGAGGAAUGAAAAAGGUUUAGGGAGUCGUUUGGUUUAAU